ensembl:lncRNA
CGCAUGGGACAGCCCCCUCAGUGCCUGUUCAGCCGCCUCCGCCCGGCCCCGCUCCCGUGUCACCUCCUGUGCCAGGCGCUGUGACAAAUGCCACUGUGUCCCCAAAACGACCCCAGCCCCCCCCCACCCCACCCCCCCCAUACCUCUGGCGUCCCCAAAGUGUCCCCGUGUCCCCAGACUGCGUCCCCAGCGGAUCCUUAACAUGACGCCACGUGUCCCUCAAUGUCCCCAGCAGGGUCCCGUGGGUCCCCAGUGUGUCCCUCUGUGUCCCCAGCAGAACCCCAUGGUCCCCAGCAGGUCCCUAUUGUCCCCAGAGCGUCCCUAAACAUCCCUAACAGGACCCUAUGGUUCCUAGAAGGUCCCUAUGGUCCCUGGUGUGUUCCUCCACAUCCCUAACAGAACCCUAUGGUCCCCAGCAGGUCCCUAUUGUCCCCAGAGCAUCCCUUAACAUCCCUAACAGGACCCUAUAGUUCCUAGAAGGUCCCUAUGGUCCCCGGUGUGUUCCUCCAUGUCCCCAGCAGAACCCUAUGGUCCCCAGCAGGUCCCUGUUGUCCCCAGAGUGUCCCUUAACAUCCCUAACACGACCCUAUGAGUCCUAGAAGGUCCCUAUGGUCCCCAACAUGUCCCCCACACUGUUGUCCCCAGUGUGUCUCUCUAUGUCCCUAAGAGAUCCCCAUGGUCCCUACCAGGUCCUUGUUGUCCCUUGUGUGCCCCUCCACUGCCCCCGUACCCCCACAGAUGUGGGGGGGGGUUACAAUGGGGGUCAGCAGCACCCACCUGCACCUGCUGGCUCUCAUCCUGCACCCGCAGCUGCACCAGGAGGGCGAAGACCUUCUGCCGCCAUCGCCCCAGCAGCGCCUGCAGCCGGGGGGGGGGCAGCUGGGAACAGAUGGGGGGGGACACGUGGGUGCUGUGGGAACACAAUGCGCCCCCCCCACCCCCACAGCAUCUCCGGAUGCACCAGGACCCUCCCUAUGACACCCAGGACCCCUCACGGCACUUCAAGACCCCCAGAUGACCCAAGGCCCCCCCCAAAAUAGCACCCAUGACUUCUCCCUGUAACAAUAUGCUUCCUGACCCCCCCACAACACCCCGGGCCUCUCCCGUUACACCCCAGGACUGCCCAUCAGACCACCCCCAAACCACCCCCAUCCCUCUAUACCCUGACCACGACACCCAGACCCCUCCCAGAUCCCCAUGUCCCCCCCCCCUCUACCCCAAU